GGACGAACGCUGGCGGCGUGCUUAAUACAUGCAAGUCGAGCGAGGUUAUCUUUUCAACGUCCUUCGGGACGGCGAAUUUUUAACCUAGCGGCGGACGGGUGAGUAACGCGUGGGUAAUCUGCCCUAAAGCCCGGGAUAACAGUGGGAAACUGCUGCUAAUACCGGAUAGCUUUAUCUGGAGGCAUCUUCGGAUAAGGAAACGUAAGGCUUUAGGAUGAGCCCGCGUCCCAUUAGCUAGUUGGUGAGGUAACGGCCCACCAAGGCGACGAUGGGUAGCCGGCCUGAGAGGGUGAACGGCCACACUGGGACUGAGACACGGCCCAGACUCCUACGGGAGGCAGCAGUAGGGAAUAUUGCGCAAUGGAGGGAACUCUGACGCAGCGACGCCGCGUGAGCGAUGAAGGUUUUCGGAUCGUAAAGCUCUGUCCUUGGGGAAGAAGAGCGCUUUUAAGCGCCUUUGACGGUACCCAAGGAGGAAGCCCCGGCUAACUACGUGCCAGCAGCCGCGGUAAUACGUAGGGGGCAAGCGUUGUCCGGAAUUAUUGGGCGUAAAGGGUGCGUAGGCGGCCUUUUAAGUCAGAUGUGAAAGCCCACGGCUUAACCGUGGGACUGCAUUUGAAACUGGAGGGCUUGAGUAUCGGAGAGGGUAGUGGAAUUCCCAGUGUAGCGGUGGAAUGCGUAGAUAUUGGGAGGAACACCAGUGGCGAAGGCGACUACCUGGACGAAAACUGACGCUGAGGCACGAAAGCUAGGGGAGCAAACAGGAUUAGAUACCCUGGUAGUCCUAGCCGUAAACGAUGGGUACUAGGUGUAGGAGGUUUCGAUACCUUCUGUGCCGCAGUUAACGCAAUAAGUACCCCGCCUGGGGAGUACGUGCGCAA
rnacentral:rRNA from 1 species